GUGCCAGCAGCCGCGGUAAUACGGAGGGUGCAAGCAUUGAUCGGAAUUACUGGGCGUAAAGGGCGCGUAGGCGGCUCUGAAAGUCAGAUGUGAAAUUCUGGGGCUCAACCCCAGAGCUGCAUUUGAAACUCCAGAGCUUAGAGGAUGGUGAGGGAAAACGGAAUUCCACGUGUAGCGGUGAAAUGCGUAGAUAUGUGGAAGAACACCAGUGGUGAAGACGGUUUUCUGUGCCAAACCAGACGCUGAAGCGCGAAAGCUAGGGGAGCAAACAGGAUUAGAAACCCGCGUAGUCC
rnacentral:rRNA from 1 species